AAGACAUUGUGUCUUCGAGUCGUUGAUUUCACACUGCCGAGAAAAGCCUCUAGAUAGAAAAUAGGUGCCCGUACCGCAAACCGACACAGGUAGUCAAGAUGAGAAUUCUAAGGUGAGCGAGCGAACUCUCGUUAAGGAACUCGGCAAAAUGACCCCGUAACUUCGGGAGAAGGGGUGCUCUUUAGGGUUAACGCCCAGAAGAGCCGCAGUGAAUAGGCCCAAGCGACUGUUUAUCAAAAACACAGGUCUCUGCUAAACCGUAAGGUGAUGUAUAGGGGCUGACGCCUGCCCGGUGCUGGAAGGUUAAGAGGAGUGGUUAGCUUCUGCGAAGCUACGAAUCGAAGCCCCAGUAAACGGCGGCCGUAACUAUAACGGUCCUAAGGUAGCGAAAUUCCUUGUCGGGUAAGUUCCGACCCGCACGAAAGGCGUAACGAUUUGGGCACUGUCUCAACGAGAGACUCGGUGAAAUCAUAGUACCUGUGAAGAUGCAGGUUACCCGCGACAGGACGGAAAGACCCCGUGGAGCUUUACUGUAGCCUGAUAUUGAAAUUCGGCACAGCUUGUACAGGAUAGGUAGGAGCCUUUGAAACGUGAGCGCUAGCUUACGUGGAGGCGCUGGUGGGAUACUACCCUAGCUGUGUUGGCUUUCUAACCCGCACCACUUAUCGUGGUGGGAGACAGUGUCAGGCGGGCAGUUUGACUGGGGCGGUCGCCUCCUAAAAGGUAACGGAGGCGCUCAAAGGUUCCCUCAGAAUGGUUGGAAAUCAUUCAUAGAGUGUAAAGGCAUAAGGGAGCUUGACUGCGAGACCUACAAGUCGAGCAGGGUCGAAAGACGGACUUAGUGAUCCGGUGGUUCCGCAUGGAAGGGCCAUCGCUCAACGGAUAAAAGCUACCCCGGGGAUAACAGGCUUAUCUCCCCCAAGAGUUCACAUCGACGGGGAGGUUUGGCACCUCGAUGUCGGCUCAUCGCAUCCUGGGGCUGUAGUCGGUCCCAAGGGUUGGGCUGUUCGCCCAUUAAAGCGGUACGCGAGCUGGGUUCAGAACGUCGUGAG
rnacentral:rRNA from 1 species